GAUGAACGCUGGCGGCGUGCUUAACACAUGCAAGUCGAACGAUGAUGCCCAGCUUGCUGGGUGGAUUAGUGGCGAACGGGUGAGUAACACGUGAGUAACCUGCCCUUGACUCUGGGAUAAUCCUGGGAAACUGGGUCUAAUACCGGAUACGACCAUCUGGCGCAUGUCAUGGUGGUGGAAAGCUUUUGUGGUUUUGGAUGGACUCGCGGCCUAUCAGCUUGUUGGUGGGGUAAUGGCCUACCAAGGCGACGACGGGUAGCCGGCCUGAGAGGGUGACCGGCCACACUGGGACUGAGACACGGCCCAGACUCCUACGGGAGGCAGCAGUGGGGAAUAUUGCACAAGGGGCGCAAGCCUGAUGCAGCGACGCCGCGUGAGGGAUGACGGCCUUCGGGUUGUAAACCUCUUUCAGUAGGGAAGAAGCGAAAGUGACGGUACCUGCAGAAGAAGCGCCGGCUAACUACGU
rnacentral:rRNA from 1 species